UUUAAGUCAGCCUGGUACAUGAUGUAUACACUUAAAAACUGUGUGCUGCCACCUCGGAUGUGUUUUAUUUUGUGUUUUGGACGUGAUAUCUUUAGUGUAUUAUAACAGACAUAGUUCACUAUUUCUGUUCUCAACUCCACCAGACUUUGAUACGUAUUUAAGUUGCGUUUAUUGUAGACUAUAUGAUGCGUUCUUAUAUAGACCAGACAGUUAAAUGCUGUUUCCCGUUCCUUGUGCACCUGACAGCUGUUUUUGAAGAAUGCUAAGUUGCUUGUUUUGCUGGGAUGUCUAAUUUGUCCACUGACAGUCUGGUUGGGAGGCAUCUCGGUGGAUCUCGGAGAACGGCUAAGAACAGAAUGAGAGCGAAAGAGAGAGAUAUGUAUAUAAAAGAUGCAGAGCAGAGCGAAUGGACAGAGACAAGCAGGGAAUGAGGAGAAAGAGGAGCAGAGGAAUGAGAUGGGGGGAGCUGAGUGUAGAGACAGCAGCGAUAAGGAAGCCUCCCUCACCUGUGCCCUCUCAGGGACAGUGACCUAACCUGGAAAUAAUUACAACUACUGAACUGUCACUGCACCCUCCACCUCAUCUCCAGUCCUUAUUGCCAAAAACACGCACCCCGCAGUCAAGUUAGCAAAACAGCGAUGGAGCAGCAAGAGGAGUGGAGGUGAGAAGAAAAGGCUGCAGUGAGAGUAUGUGGACGGAAAAACAGAACAGACAGGCAAGUGUUUUAUUGAAUCUGCGGUGUCCACAGAAUCGGGUAACUCACUUAGAGGGCGUCUCUAAAAGCAUUCGGAGUGUGGAGCCCUAUGGGCAGUGUCACUCUCAAUCUACAAAACAAAGGACCGGAGGGGCUGCUCUUUGAAUAAGAAAACUACUUUUACAAUACAGAUGGAUUAUUUCAUCUCUGACUGGUCCCUCCUGAGACUUCAGCCGCAUAUUUCGGGGGGAAUGAAAAAUAGGGUUGUGAAUGUGUGUUUGGUCAAAUCUGAUAUCAAUAUCACUUUAGAGAGAUUAUUUCCCCAUGUAUGCCUCUCAGAAGCUUUUCACUCUGCUUGGCUCAUGGGGAUAGAAUUUGCUUCUAAAUUAAAUGCAAUAGUUAUGGGCACCACAUGGGGUCUGGAUUGCAGGACAUAUCAUAUUUGAAGGUGCUCAAAAAUCUGAACAGACUAAAAUGAAAACAUCUAGAAUCAGAUCAGAGCUUUUGAAACAAAUCAUUUGCAAACUUAAUUGCAAACUUCAUCGGAACAGAUUUGGAGCAAUUUAACAUUAGAUCGCUCACCAAUGGAUCCUCUGCAGUGAAUGGGUGCCAUCAGAGUACUCUUUGUAACAAACAAAUCCAUUUUUAAGAUGUUUUAACUUCAAACCAUUACUUGGCACUAAAAUAUGAGUCUCCAUAAUAUCGCUUUUGCUUUCGCCAAAAGAUCUUCUCUGAGUCAUGAGAGAAAUAUGCACAGAUCAAUCACCAUUUGGAAGUGAAAACAGUCCAAACAGUUCUAAUUAAAUAGGCUGUGGUGGAUUUUGUUGUAAGAGGACAAGAGGGAUGGGCUGCUUGACUGGAGGAAGCAUUAUUAUGGAUUACUUAAUCAAAUAAAUUGAACUAAUUCUGACGGCACCCAUUCACUGCAGAGCAUAUAAUGCGAGCAAGUGAUGUAAUUGAUGCUAAAUUUCUCAAA